rnacentral:rRNA from 1 species
UACGAAGGGGGCUAGCGUUGCUCGGAAUUACUGGGCGUAAAGCGCACGUAGGCGGUCUUUUUAAGUCGGGGGUGAAAUCCUGGAGCUCAACUCCAGAACUGCCUUCGAUACUGGAAGACUUGAGUCCGGGAGAGGUGAGUGGAACUCCUAGUGUAGAGGUGGAAUUCGUAGAUAUUAGGAAGAACACCAGUGGCGAAGGCGGGCUCACUGGUCCGGUACUGACGCUGAGGUG